GGAGGGUAUAGCUCAGGGGUAGAGUGCAUGCUUAGCAUGCAUGAGGUCCUGGGUUCAAUCCCCAGUACCUCCA
rnacentral:tRNA from 1 species